GUGUAUUCUAUAUCCAGUUCGUUCGAUUUAUUUAUUUUGUAUCAAUCAAUAGUUAUGAUUUUUCCAAAAAAAGAAGGAGAGAAACGAAAAGGUGCUUUCAUUAAAAGAGAUCGAAUGCAAA
rnacentral:ribozyme from 14 species